UAAGGAUAGUGAGGACCUGACCUCCCUCUGGAAAUGAGAGAAACAUGUUAUGGCGUUUUUCAAUAAUCAUAGUUAAAAAAAAGUUAGGUACCUACUUAAUUAGUUCAGAUUUUAAAUUUUUGAAAUGAUGGAGCGUCCUGUUCGUUUGGAUGAUAUCAAAUCAUCACAAUGACGAGGUUUCUAUUUUUCAUUCAUAGUCCUACGAAGAUAAUUUUUAUCUCGGUUUUAAUUUUUAUAGGUAUGUACAUAUAUCGUGUUCAUACCAUCACUGACGUUCUGAUAUAGUAAUGAUCUAUCUGUGCUCUGCUCUGAGCCAUAUUGCCAGUUCGUUACUCGACUUCAAUAUGAGUAACAACUCUGGUUGUAUGGUAUUCACGACUCUAUUUAAAAUGGUGGGAUUCUUCUUUUGUAUGUAUCUCAUUCCUAAGACUUUCGCAUUUCCAGGGCAAAAAGAGGAUGAAUUCAGUCUUGACUCAUCGCCGCACCCACGGCCUCUUGCGGAGAGCCCGUGCGUGGACUUUGCUGCACUGGCGCGAACCGGUCGCUUCAUCGACAAGACCCACCUCAUAAAGUGGUUCGACGCGGCCAAGUAAACUCAACGCUCAUGACAGCACCGAAGCAUUUCGGCAAAUCUACCAGCCUAGACAUGCUGCGACGUUUCUACCAUCCCCCGGUCCACAAGAACGGAACCCGAAUCCCGAAACAUCAUUCACCCAACCACAAACUCUUCACCGACACAUAUUUCACCACGAAAACUCGCCUGGCAGUCAACCAAAACCCGUUCUUCGACAAGCACUUCGCCUCGAGACCGGUCCUCCUCCUGAAUUUCACCACGCUCGAGACCCAAACAUGGGAGACAUUCGUCGCCUCCGUCCGCCGGAUGUUCGUCGAUGCGAUCGGGGACAUGCCGUACCUUCGCAGCGACAACCCGAACGACGAAAGCCGCAAAUUCUUCAUCGACCAACUCGAAGGUCAGGCCCGCGUUGAGAACGCGGCCGUGGAGCAGAUCAACGCGUACCUCCUGACGUUCCACCUGAACGCGUACUUCAACGCAACCGGUUUGCUCCUCCUGAUAGACGACCUGGACGCGCCCUUGCGGCGAAUGCUGGAACUAGGCAUGGACGCGGAGCAGGGUCCAAUGGUCGAGUACCUCAACGACCUGGUCCGCGCUCUGGUCAAAGGGAAUCGUCACGUGUGGAAAACCUUCGCUGUGGCCCGGUUGCCGCCCUCGCACGUGUUCCAAGAUAUCGACAACCUCAGAAACCUGACGUUCCAUUCCCACCCGGAGGUUGCGGUGGCGUUCGGGUCCCGCGAGGAGGAGAUACGCACUCUUCAGCAACAAUUCCCGAAUCAGAACAGCAGUCUGCCGGAAGCCAGGAAGACUUACGGCGGCUACAAGGUCGAGGAUACGAGGUUCGGGAACACUUUUGAGGUGUUUAAUACUGCGUCGGUUGCGAGGUACUUCGAGACUGGCCUGGAUAAGGUCUACUGGAGUGCGGACAGCGACGUGCCUUUCGCGAGUGUUUUCAAGAUCACGGAGGUGAUGCGAUUUUUGAGGUCCGCGAUACUUGGGUACGAGGUGCGGAUUGUGUACGAGGAAGCGAUGACCUAUGAUAAGUUCGUGAGCUUGAAGAGUGCGUUGGAUCGGGCGAAAACGUCGAAGGGAGACGUCGUCGUCGAGCCCGUCAAUGUUCAUUUGGUCGUUCAGUAUUUAUUCGAGCUGGGAUACUUCACACUUGUCAGCAGACACAAACAGGAUAUCAUAUUGGCGUUGCCGAAUUUAGAGGUGAAGAACAUCUUGAUCUCGCAUUUCGUCUCGGCCGUGGACGACCUCUUCGGAAUCCGGGAGGAGCUCCACGAGGAUUGCCUGGACGCAAUCCUGGGACUGACAGGAACCCAAGAGUCCAAGCGAAGUUAGUCGGGAGCAUCGCGGACCUGUUUGCCCGGCGACGACCGUUGACGACGGACGAUCUGCUGACCCCUCUCGUGGCGACGGUCCUGAACCAGUACCUGGUAGGACCGAAAGUGGAGAUAAUCAUCUCGGGAGAGCAAACGCCGACCCUGUCCAAACUGGUCGUCCUGCGGACGGACGACGACGAGGUGGCUAACGAACACACGGGCAUCAUCAUCCAAGCCGCGGUCCACGGGAGUUCCAGGGAGGCGCUCAAUUGCACCGUCGCCGGGAGGGAUUUCAAGACCUUCUUCGAGAUGACCAAAGGGAGCAAGGCUGAAGGCAUCCGGAGUGACAUAGUUCUCGUUGGGCUCAAUUUCGGAGAGAAGAAAGUUUCCGGGAGUUUCAUGUACAGCGACGGAUCUGAUUUCAAGUCCAGUGAUAUCGAGUGUGACGUCAAGUCGUGGGGAGAGAGUAAGAGUGAUAAAUCCAAAAUGGGCCUCUAUAUCUAAAGCUUCCGAUCCCGGAAUAAUAAUAUUAAACUUUUAAAGGAAGAUGGAGAAAUCUUGCCUUAUUAUUGACGCGUGGGCGUAUUUCUGCCAAACGGAACUAUGUCCAUUAAGACAAGAGCCCUUAGACCCAGAAGAAUACACGCAGACAGGGCUCACGUCAUGUGGCAGAAAUGCGUCCAUGUAUGUUUUGAUUGUUCGUCACACUGUUAAAAAUUUAGGAAUGAAAUUCUGUGCCGGAAUAUGUGGAGCUCAAAAACCCCGCGUGCAUGAAUGCGGACCGUAGGUAAUCUAUUUUCCUUACGGAGUGACUUAAAUUACAUUAUUAAGGGAAUCCUCUCUAUUUUGCGGAGUGCCAUGCUUUCAUACUAUUAGUUUCACUUCGCACUCAUAUAAGUAGGUACUUGGGGUUUUUGGGUGCUCCAUAAGACUGCUCUGUUUCGAGAACUUCCUAGAUUUUUCUCCUUGAUGUGUUAGCAGAAUGUUCUGUAUAAAGAGGGGUUCCGAUUUGGGCCGAAAUACGCCUCUUAUCACUAAAUCGGGAAAAUGUUGGAUAUUGGCAGUUGGCCUCCUUUGGUGUAGAGGUUGUAGCGCUAUUCUCUAAGGUGGUGUGGAAAGAGUUCAUCCAAAGAUUAAACAUCAGAUGAUAACUAAGUCGUGAAAUAGCUUCCUGCAGGGCCGGAUUAAGGGGGUGGCCACAUGGGCCGCGGCCCAUGGCGGCAAAUCUAUAGGCCCGGGCGGCAAAAUUCGCAAUUUUUUUAAAUGUAGGCAUAAAAAAAAUUACAAACGAGAAAAGGCGACAAAAUCUCUAAUUUUCUGAAAGUAUAGUAAUUUCUACUUUUGUCAUCUUUCAGUGAUACAAGAGGCAGCAUCUUUAAUUAGUCGAGUUAAGAGAGAAACCAAACACGCAAUUUGGCCUGGAACUUGGAGAGAAAUGACGACGAGGACUUGAGAUGAAAAGGAGAAGCCUCUAGUGGGGCCGAUAAGCGUAACAAUCGUGCACUUCUGGAAGAAAGCAUGAAAAUUUCAGGGAUUCAUCUCUACCCUAUAGACAUUCGAU
rnacentral:lncRNA from 1 species